rnacentral:tRNA from 1 species
ACUAUUUUGGCAGAAAAGUGCAAUGGAUUUAGAAUCCAAGAAUAUGGGAUUUAAGGUUCUAUAGGUAGUA